CCCAAAGAAAAAAACAAAUGUUACCCAAUAGGCAAACAAUGCUGAGAGUUCACUUCCUCUAACUCUGUAGUUAAGUUACUCACUCAGUAUAACAUCACCCUCCUGCCAGGGGUUGAAGUCAGGAAGUAGUUUAUUUUCGCUGAAACUGAAGGGGGAAGUUAAAGAGAAAAAUAGCUGCAACUUGGUCAAUUCAGGAAAACCAGGUACGAAAAAAGAGGAGCAAGUUAAAGGGAAAGCCAGCUCGGAUUUGCUCACCAGUAAAAGGCAAAAAUCCCAGUGUUAUUCAUCUGCAUUUGGUGUGAAAGACAAAAGCUCAACUGGGAUCUGAGGCUUUCUGUGUCAGAGGGCAAGGAGUCAAUGGGGUUAUGAGGAAGUAAGACCACUUGAGACAUCAAAGAAAAGUAGAUCAAAUCACUAGACUCCUCCAAACAGGAGUGGGUGAAGACAAAAAGUGGAGAGAAUCCAGAGGGAAGAGAGGAGUAGGGAAAAUGGUGGAAAGGGAAGGUUUUUGAGAUGGAAGGCAGAGAAUGGGAACAAAAGAAGAAAAAGCUGUUUGUUUCAAAUCAAUAUUCUCCAAGAGGAUGUCUUGUUUCCCCAGGGAUAUUCUGAGGGACUCACAGGAUCAGAGCUGCGACACUUCUAACAUAUGGUACACAAAUAUCCAAGAUUGGAAAGAAGAAAGAAAAUGACGACAGAAUUUUGCAGUCUACAAGGCAAACACUGCCAUUCAUGUAGUUAUGGAGUUCCUACUAUGUGCAGACAAUGGGAAACUUUACGAAGAGCAGGUAUUCAUGGGCAACAAUUUAGGAAAUGAUACAGAAAGAAAGGAAGGCUGGAAAGACCAAAGAAAAACAGCUACAGUUUUGCCAAGAACCAGCCCCACGCUUCAUGAGAAUUGUGAUACAUUUACAUUUGGCUUUUAAUUUCUGUAUCAAUUUGGACUGUGUUUUUGUGAAAAUGAGAUAAUAUAUGUGAAAGUACCUAGCUGAAUUCUUGGGAUAUGGCAAAAACCCAAUAAAUAUAAGUUUUUACUACUGUGUUAAGCAUCUUCUUGUCGUAAGCAGAAUUUACCCAGUUGAUAAGGAAAAGAUAAAGCUUAGUUGAGCCAAUUAGCAUAAAACAUUUC
rnacentral:lncRNA from 10 species